GUAUUUUGAAUUAUGUUUAUUCAUGAUACAAUGAUUCAGACAAACUAGUUAAAGGUAAAUUAAUUAGAAGAGAUCUCAAGCCUCUCUAAAAGAGAGACAAAAAGACUCUUAACGAUGCACACAAGGUGGGUAUGGAUUUUUUAGAGUGCCAUAAACACUCGUUAUGAAUGAUCCUUCCGCAGGUUCACCUACGGAAA
rnacentral:misc_RNA from 1 species